UACGUAGGUGGCAAGCGUUUGUCCGGAUUUACUGGGCGUAAAGAGCGCGCAGGCGGUCGUUCAAGUCGCGUGUGAAAGCCCCCCGGCUCAACUGGGGAGGGUCACGCGAUACUGAUCGACUCGAAGGCAGGAGAGGGAAGUGGAAUUCCCGGUGUAGUGGUGAAAUGCGUAGAUAUCGGGAGGAACACCAGUGGCGAAGGCGGUUUCCUGGCCGAGUACUGACGCUGAGGAGCGAAAAGCGUGGGGGAGCGAACAGG
rnacentral:rRNA from 1 species